rnacentral:rRNA from 1 species
AGUGAACGCUGGCGGCAUGCCUAACACAUGCAAGUCGAACGCGGUUAGCCCGCAAGGGUUAACUGAGUGGCGAACGGGUGAGUAACACGUGGGUGACCUACCUUCGAAUGGGGGAGUAACGUCCCGAACGGGACGGCUAAUACCGCAUAACAUCCUGCUUUUGUAACAGGUGGAGAUCAAAGACUGGGGAGUCGCAAGACCU